rnacentral:rRNA from 1 species
UACGGAGGGGGCUAGCGUUGUUCGGAAUUACUGGGCGUAAAGCGCGCGUAGGCGGCUUUUGUAAGUUAGAGGUGAAAGCCCCGGAGCUCAACUCCGGAACUGCCUUUUAAGACUGCAUCGCUAGAACGAUGGAGAGGUAAGUGGAAUUCCGAGUGUAGAGGUGAAAUUCGUAGAUAUUCGGAAGAACACCAGUGGCGAAGGCGACUUACUGGACAUCUGUUGACGCUGAGGUGCGAAAGCGUGGGGAGCAAACAGG